rnacentral:rRNA from 1 species
UAAGGAAUAUUGGUCAAUGGGCGCAAGCCUGAACCAGCCAUGCCGCGUGCAGGAAGACGGCCCUAUGGGUUGUAAACUGCUUUUGUCAGGGAAUAAACCCCCGCUCGUGAGCGGGGCUGAAGGUACCUGAAGAAUAAGCAUCGGCUAACUCCGUGCCAGCAGCCGCGGUAAUACGGAGGAUGCAAGCGUUAUCCGGAUUCAUUGGGUUUAAAGGGUGCGCAGGCGGAUUGGUAAGUCAGGGGUGAAAUCCCACAGCUCAACUGUGGAACUGCCUUUGAUACUGUCAGUCGAGAGUAUAGUUGAAGUGGGCGGAAUGUGUCAUGUAGCGGUGAAAUGCUUAGGUAUGACAAAGAACACCGAUUGUGAAGGCAGCUCGCUAAGCUAUAACUGACGCUAAUGCACGAAAGCGUAGGGAUCAAACAG